UUUAAAAGUCCGCCCCGGGGCUGCGCACCGCUCAGGGAGAGGCGGACAGCGGGAGGCGGUCUCUGGGUUCAGGUUUCAUUUGGUGGCUUUAAGGAUGGGAGACUGGGGAAUGGACGCAUCACCAGAUGCCAAGUAUUUUGCCUGCCGGCACAUGUCA